rnacentral:misc_RNA from 1 species
GAUGAAGAACGUAGUGAAAUGCGAUAAGUAAUGUGAAUUGCAGAAUUCAGUGAAUCAUCGAAUCUUUGAACGCACAUUGCGCCCGCCAGUAUUCUGGCGGGCAUGCCUGUUCGAGCGUCAUUUCAACCAUCAAGCCCCAGGCUUGUGUUGGGGACCUGCGGCUGCCGCAGGCCCUGAAAACCAGUGGCGGGCUCGCUGUCACACCGGGCGUAGUAGAUUUUAUCUCGCUCUGGGCGUGCUGCGGGUUCCGGCCGUUAAAAAACCCUUUUAACCCAAGGUUGACCUCGGAUCAGGUAGGAAUACCCGCUGAACUUAAGCAUAUCAAUAAGCGGAAGA